GUACCAGCAAAAUCUGGUACCGGGCGUAGGAACCCGUUUUGUAUAGCAACAGGUACAUACGUACCAGCUCUAUGCUGGUUUUUU
rnacentral:sRNA from 1 species